CCUACGGGAGGCAGCAGUGGGGAAUAUUGGACAAUGGGGGCAACCCUGAUCCAGCCAUGCCGCGUGUGUGAAGAAGGCCCUCGGGUUGUAAAGCACUUUCAGUGAGGAAGAACGCCUGGUGGUUAAUACCCAUCAGGAAAGACAUCACUCACAGAAGAAGCACCGGCUAACUCCGUGCCAGCAGCCGCGGUAAUACGGAGGGUGCGAGCGUUAAUCGGAAUUACUGGGCGUAAAGCGCGCGUAGGUGGCUUGAUAAGCCGGUUGUGAGAGCCCCGGGCUCAACCUGGGAACGGCAUCCGGAACUGUCAAGCUAGAGUGCAGGAGAGGAAGGUAGAAUUCCCGGUGUAGCGGUGAAAUGCGUAGAGAUCGGGAGGAAUACCAGUGGCGAAGGCGGCCUUCUGGACUGACACUGACACUGAGGUGCGAAAGCGUGGGUAGCAAACAGGAUUAGAUACCCCGGUAGUC
rnacentral:rRNA from 1 species